GCCUACGGGAGGCAGCAGUGGGGAAUAUUGGACAAUGGGCGGAAGCCUGAUCCAGCAAUACCGCGUGUGUGAAGAAGGCCUUCGGGUUGUAAAGCACUUUCAAUUGGGAGGAAAACCUACCGGUCAAUACCCGGUAGCUUGACAUUACCUUUAGAAGAAGCACCGGCUAACUCCGUGCCAGCAGCCGCGGUC
rnacentral:rRNA from 1 species